UACGUAGGGUGCAAGCGUUGUCCGGAAUUAUUGGGCGUAAAGAGCUCGUAGGCGGUCUGUCGCGUCGAAUGUGAAAAUCCGAGGCUCAACCUCGGACCUGCAUUCGAUACGGGCAGACUAGAGUUCGGUAGGGGAGUCUGGAAUUCCUGGUGUAGCGGUGAAAUGCGCAGAUAUCAGGAGGAACACCGGUGGCGAAGGCGGGACUCUGGGCCGAUACUGACGCUGAGGAGCGAAAGCGUGGGGAGCAAACAG
rnacentral:rRNA from 1 species